rnacentral:misc_RNA from 1 species
UGGUUCUGGCAUCGAUGAAGAACGCAGCGAAAUGCGAUAAGUAAUGUGAAUUGCAGAAUUCAGUGAAUCAUCGAAUCUUUGAACGCACAUUGCGCCCCUUGGUAUUCCGAGGGGCAUGCCUGUUCGAGCGUCAUUACAACCCUCAAGCUUGGCUUGGUAUUGGGUCUCGCUACUUAUAUAGCAGGCCUUAAAACUAGUGGCAGUGUCGUGGGAACCCUGAGCGUAGUAAAUAUUCCGCUAUAGGUAACCUGCGAUAGUAGCCAUCAACUCUUACUUUCUAAGUUUGACCUCGGAUCAGGUAGGGAUACCCGCUGA